UGGGGAGGAGCCAGCUUGGGAAGGCGGCGGGUUUUGGUCCCGCAACGACGUGGUUCGAUUCCACGCUCCCCAG
rnacentral:tRNA from 1 species